rnacentral:rRNA from 1 species
ACGGGUAGCCGGCCUGAGAGGGUGACCGGCCACACUGGGACUGAGACACGGCCCAGACUCCUACGGGAGGCAGCAGUGGGGAAUAUUGCACAAUGGGCGCAAGCCUGAUGCAGCAACGCCGCGUGAGGGAUGACGGCCUUCGGGUUGUAAACCUCUUUUAGCAGGGAAGAAGCGAAAGUGACGGUACCUGCAGAAAAAGCGCCGGCUAACUACGUGCCAGCAGCCGCGGUAAUACGUAGGGCGCAAGCGUUAUCCGGAAUUAUUGGGCGUAAAGAGCUCGUAGGCGGUUUGUCGCGUCUGCUGUGAAAUCCGGAGGCUCAACCUCCGGCCUGCAGUGGGUACGGGCAGACUAGAGUGCGGUAGGGGAGAUUGGAAUUCCUGGUGUAGCGGUGGAAUGCGCAGAUAUCAGGAGGAACACCGAUGGCGAAGGCAGAUCUCUGGGCCGUAACUGACGCUGAGGAGCGAAAGGGUGGGGAGCAA